rnacentral:rRNA from 1 species
CGGCGUGCCUAAUACAUGCAAGUCGAGCGGAAUGAUGAAGAAGCUUGCUUCUUCUGAUUUUAGCGGCGGACGGGUGAGUAACACGUGGGCAACUACCUUGUAGAUUGGGAUAACUCCGGGAAACCGGGGCUAAUACCGAAUAAUCCAUUUUGCUUCAUGGCGAGAUGUUGAAAGACGGUUUCGGCUGUCACUAUAAGAUGGGCCCGCGGCGCAUUAGCUAGUUGGUAGGGUAAUGGCCUACCAAGGCGACGAUGCGUAGCCGACCUGAGAGGGUGAUCGGCCACACUGGGACUGAGACACGGCCCAGACUCCUACGGGAGGCAGCAGUAGGGAAUCUUCCACAAUGGACGAAAGUCUGAUGGAGCAACGCCGCGAGAGUGAAGAAGGUUUUCGGAUCAUAAAACUCUGUUGUAAGGGAAGAACACGUACGAGAGUAACUGCUCGUACCUUGACGGUACCUUAUUAGAAAGCCACGGCUAACUACGUG